rnacentral:rRNA from 1 species
AACGAACGCUGGCGGCAUGCCUAACACAUGCAAGUCGAACGAUCCCUUCGGGGAUAGUGGCGCACGGGUGCGUAACGCGUGGGAACCUGCCCUUAGGUUCGGAAUAACUCAGAGAAAUUUGAGCUAAUACCGGAUAAUGUCUUCGGACCAAAGAUUUAUCGCCUUUGGAUGGGCCCGCGUUGGAUUAGCUAGUUGGUGGGGUAAAGGCCUACCAAGGCGACGAUCCAUAGCUGGUCUGAGAGGAUGAUCAGCCACACUGGGACUGAGACACGGCCCAGACCCAGCCGGGAGCGAGGGGGGGGAAUUAUUGAAAAGGGGGCGAAGGCUGUAUCCAGCAUUCCCGGGGGAGUGAGGAGGCCUUGGGGUUUGAAAAGCUCUUUUCCCGGGGAGAAAAAGGACAGGCCGGGGAGAAAAACCCCGGCCAACCUCCGC